AUGGGAUCUAUCGACUUUAAUUGAGAGGAGUAGUCCUAUGAGAUUUAAGAAACUGAGUUCAUAAGUCUAUGACCAUAGCAGUGUGAUUAAUGAAAAGGAGUUUCUAUUAGGAAUUACUAUUGAACUUGAGCUGAUCAUAUCUAUCAUAUGACUGAUGAUGAGUUUGACGAUUUAUCCAUGACCUGCCAUCUAGUUGGAACUCACGAUAAAAUGACUGUAUUAUACAUUAACUACAUCUAAAGGUUCUAUUUUGAUUCUACUAGAUUGUCACUACAUAUUGCUAGAUAUCACUGGUGGAUUGUGAGAGCUCAAUAG
rnacentral:lncRNA from 1 species